UUCUUCAGGGCAGGGUGUAAUUCCCGACCGGUGGUAUAGUCCACGAGCUGCAGCAGCGGCUGAUUUGGUGUAAUUCCAAAACCGACAGUAUAGUCUGGAUGGGAGAAGACG
rnacentral:ncRNA from 1 species